GACAGAGGUUGCAAACGUUGUUCGGAAUCACUGGGCAUAAAGCGCACGUAGGCGGUCUGUUAAGUCAGGUGUGAAAGCCCCCGGCUCAACCGGGGAAUUGCAUUUGAUACUGGCAGGCUCGAGAACGGUAGGGGUGAGUGGAACUCCAGGUGGAGCGGUGAAAUGCGUAGAUAUCUGGAGGAACACCGGUGGCGAAGGCGGCUCACUGGACCGUCACUGACGCUGAGGCGCGAAAGCG
rnacentral:rRNA from 1 species